rnacentral:rRNA from 1 species
AUUGAACGCUGGCGGCAGGCCUAACACAUGCAAGUCGAACGAGUGGCGGACGGGUGAGUAAUGUCUGGGAAACUGCCUGAUGGAGGGGGAUAACUACUGGAAACGGUAGCUAAUACCGCAUACCAUCGGAUGUGCCCAGAUGGGAUUAGCUAGUAGGUGGGGUAAAGGCUCACCUAGGCGACGAUCCCUAGCUGGUCUGAGAGGAUGACCAGCAACACGGGAACUGAGACAAGGUCCAGAAUCCGACGGGAGGCAGAAGUGGGGAAUAGUGGACAAAGGGCGCAAGGCUGAUGAAGCAAGGCCGGGUGUAGGAAGAAGGCCUUCGGGUUGUAAAGUACUUUCAGCGGGGAGGCGUGACCAGAAGAAGAAGCACAGGAUAACUCCGUGCCAGCAGCCGCGGUAAUUC